rnacentral:rRNA from 1 species
GACGAACGCUGGCGGCGUGCCUAAUACAUGCAAGUAGAACGCUGAAGGAGGAGCUUGCUCUUCUGGAUGAGUUGCGAACGGGUGAGUAACGCGUAGGUAACCUGCCUGGUAGUGGGGGAUAACUAUUGGAAACGAUAGCUAAUACCGCAUAAUAACAGUUGUUGCAUGACAACUGUUUGAAAGGUGCAAUUGCAUCACUACCAGAUGGACCUGCGUUGUAUUAGCUAGUUGGUGGGGUAACGGCUCACCAAGGCGACGAUACAUAGCCGACCUGAGAGGGUGAUCGGCCACACUGGGACUGAGACACGGCCCAGACUCCUACGGGAGGCAGCAGUAGGGAAUCUUCGGCAAUGGACGAAGGUCUGGCCGAGCAACGCCGCGUGAGUGAAGAAGGUUUUCGGAUCGUAAAGCUCUGUUGUAAGAGAAGAACGAGUGUGAGAGUGGAAAGUUCACACUGUGACGGUAUCUUACCAGAAAGGGACGGCUAACUACGUG